rnacentral:rRNA from 1 species
GAGCGCCGUAGCAAUACGGAGCGGCAGACGGGAGAGUAACACGUGGGAACGUGCCCUUCAGUUCGGAACAACCCAGGGAAACUUGGGCUAAUACCGGAUACGUCCGUAAGGAGAAAGAUUUAUCGCUGAAGGAUCGGCCCGCGUCUGAUUAGCUAGUUGGUGGGGUAAUGGCCCACCAAGGCGACGAUCAGUAGCUGGUCUGAGAGGAUGAUCAGCCACACUGGGACUGAGACACGGCCCAGACUCCUACGGGAGGCAGCAGUGGGGAAUAUUGGACAAUGGGCGCAAGCCUGAUCCAGCAAUGCCGCGUGAGUGAUGAAGGCCUUAGGGUUGUAAAGCUCUUUCGGCGGGGACGAUGAUGACGGUACCCGCAGAAGAAGCCCCGGCUAACUUCGUG